rnacentral:rRNA from 1 species
UACGGAGGGUGCAAACGUUGCUCGGAAUCAUUGGGCGUAAAGCGCACGUAGGCGGCACGUUAAGUCGGGUGUGAAAGCCCUGGGCUCAACCCAGGAAGUGCAUUCGAAACUGGCGCGCUUGAAUAUGGAAGAGGGUCGCGGAAUUCCCGGUGUAGAGGUGAAAUUCGUAGAUAUCGGGAGGAACACCAGUGGCGAAGGCGGCGACCUGGGCCAAUAUUGACGCUGAGGUGCGAAAGCGUGGGAGCAAAC